GGCACUCUGAGCGCUCUGAGAGCUGGAAAAGGUUCUCAACCACAUUUUAUUAUUUUUGUGUAUUUAACUUGUGAAUGCGGCUUAAGAUAUUUUACCUAACCUAAUCCAAUUUUCUCAUUACGCUUUCAUUCUUUCAAGACCGGUGAAGACCACGCUGUUGCACACGUGCAUCAUGGAGAAAAAAAUUAUUUUAAAUGGGUUAAUUUUAAAUAACAAUAAAACAUUAAUAAAAGAUAAUGGUCGCAUUUUAUGCGACAUAACGAACGUUGAUACAAAUGAAAAUUCAUACAUGUACAUAGAGGAAAGUACCUUGCUUCAAUGGCAACAAUUGGAGGGCGAAUUUGCUGAUAAAAAAAAGAGAAAAUUGAAGAUUCAUCUGUUGUCAAAGAACCUGCAUUAGGACAACCAUCGGUACGCUCUGGUUCUGACAAGUCUGUCAACACGGAAAAACAAUUUCCCAAUCCAGGAGGCAGUCAAUCCACCAUGGCUGAAUUCGACUUUGCACUUGGUGGACAACAUCCAUUGGAGAAACACAAUCCUUCCUCAUCGUACUCCAGCUCUGGCCGGCAAGUUACUCACAACGAGAGGACUCGAACCUGACGGCGAAGACAAUACUACUGAUAGUGACAGUGAUGGCAACGAAAAUGAUAUAUCAAAAAGUACGCGACCGAUCGCGAAGAAGCAAAAAACAAACCCGGGAGAUUUCAAAUGGGAAGUCGAUUGGAUCUACUCGCUCGUGGGAUCUUAUAAGGAUAUUAUGGCGGAGAAAGGAAGUAACAAGGACUUCAAAAUACAAGUGUAUCGAAGAAUUUCGACUAUGUUCGAAGAUAAUGGAAUAAAAAUAUCUCCACAGCAAUGUGAAUCAAAAAUGAAAGCACUUCAGGAAAAAUAUAAAUCUGAACUUGGCAAAAAAAACAAAACCGGUCGAGGUCGGAAGGAUGAAUGGCCAUUUUUUGAAAUAAUGAAUGACCUUAUGUUCGACAAACCUCAAAUAACCCCACAAUCAGUAUCGUUAAACUGAAGGGGUACAGAAUUAAAAAGAAGUCAUGUAAAACCAAAGAGAAGGAGAAGGGAGAUACCUCCAGUGAUGAUGACGAUUUUGAAGAAGAGAAAAUGAGAAGAAGAAGAAAACCCAAAGAAAGUGCAGCUCAUCAAGUUGUUCAUUUGCUGCAAGAAAAAAACAGGCAGAGCAGCGCGUUUCAGAAUAGAGUGGCAAUUGCUCUGGAAAAUUUCCUCGAAAGUAUGAAAGAACAAAAAAAGGAAUAAGUAAAUAUUUGCUUAUUUAAUUUAUUUUUAACUUUGUCAAUGUAAAGUUCUGUGAUUAAUAAGUAUUAUUAUAAUUUAUUUAUAAAUUUUGGAAAUUUUUUUGACAAUGUCCACACAUGUAAGUGGUGGUCAAUAAAAUUUCCAAAAUUCCAAAAUGUGAUGAACGUUAAGUGUUCCAUAUAAUUUAUUGUCAAAAUCUAUGGCUGUGUACAUUUUAUUUAGUAUAAUUGUUACCAAUUAAAAUGUAAAUGGGUCACAACGCUGUAAAUCAUCUGAAAGUGGUUGCUGACAUAUUUUAAAAAAGUCUAGUUUUAAUAUUAUGUAAAACUAGAU